rfam:Acidobacteria bacterium RIFCSPLOWO2_02_FTLL_61_28 rifcsplowo2_02_scaffold_7160, whole genome shotgun sequence.
CCCCGGGCUUACGCCCGGGGCUAGAAUCUUGCGGCCCUCCGGGGCU